rnacentral:lncRNA from 1 species
UCUCAAUACCAUGGUUCAUGGCAGAUCAGCGGCACUAUUAUGUGUUUGCUGCGUUUGAACCGAACCAAUAAUUUGGUACAACAUCUAUUGUUUCCUUUAUCUGAACCGAACCAAUAGUUUUUUAAAUCAUAAUAAUAUUUCCUUAGAUAUGCAGGUUGGCGAUUCUCAAGUUGAUGGGUUUGUGCUACAAACUGAACUAAUUCCUCUGUGCCUUUGUAAUAUGGAGUUGGGCACUGAGCUUUCAUGCAAAUGAGGCACAAGAUAGAUCACAUGUGUGCACAGUAUUGGAGAUGCAGGCCCUUUAUUUUCAUUUACAAUUGGGACAUAUUCAACAUACCAAGACUCACAAAAUAUUGCCCGGGGCAAUACCAGUAAGCAACACACAAAUCUAGAUGAUAGGUCCUGAUAGGCAAACCAUAUGCUUCAUGACAAAACUAUGAACCAAUUGCACAAUAGUAAUAUUAGCAUGUUGUAUCUUUCUUCUUUUCCCCCAAUGAGCUUGUUCAUGCUUCUGGACAAUUGGACAUGGCAUAUAUCUUUGCCUUCUCCUGAUGUACAAGUCAUUUAAGAUCAUAGUCGUUUUGUACUCAGGUUACAUCAUAUGAGAUUUAACCAAAGGAGUGUUGUGUUUUUCAAUACGUUUUUUUCAUCAAUGGUAUUUAAAAG